CGCCAACGGCCCCGCCCGCGCCGCCCCCGCGCGCUCGCGACCCCGGGAGGCCUGGCUCUCGCUCGCGGGGGUCUCGGCGAGUGGCUUGCGUGAGCUCGGCCCUGCCCUUCCCCGGACUGCCGCGCAGCAGGGAGGUCCCAGGUUGCGCCCCGAAACUGCCAAGCCCCGAGCGGGCCGCGCCCCGAUCUGGGGUGAGUCCCGUGGCCCCCGCCCCUCUGUGAAUUCUGCGCCCCGCACGCCCCCAGGAGCUUCCCAUACAGGCUCGGUGUGGAGCUGGGCCGCCGCAGCGGGUGCCUGGCUGGGGACGGGCUGGCAGGGUCCCCGGGGGUCCGGGAAGCGGCCAUCACAUCCCAAUCACGUGGGAGGGGGGUCACCAGUUCUGCCACUCCAGCCACGUCCGCGUAGGCCCCUUCACUGCAGAAGGGGUGGUCACGGGGUUGGGUACCCCUGGACAUCAAUGGAGGUGGUGGUGUAAGUGAGUAUUGUGAUAUGCUGGUUUCCUUGGGGACACUGUAGGGAAACCGAGGCAAGGAAAGUCUCCCCACUUUCAGCAUGGUCUAGCCCCGCCCCCCGUAUGGGUCAGUUGGCGAGACUGCUCUCCAUUGAUUAUGAAGUCCAGGUCACACUGGCUUGGGGCACAGAACGCCUAGGCCUUUGUCCCCUCCAACAGGCGUGGGGGGCGGGCAUCCAUCGCUGCCCUUCACCCCGUAAGACGGCUCUGGGAAACCUGUCACCCUUAGCAGGGUCGUGGCCCUACCUUCCAGUGCUCCGUUUCAAUGGAUGCCUGGAGGGAAAGCUGGCACUGUAGCAAACCGUGUGGAAUAUAUUUGUAAGCUUCUGGAAUUGUUCAAUGUGGUGUUAAGCGGAGGGGUAGCAGUGAGGUGAGGUGAAGGUCACAGGGCACAGAGCUUGAUUCUAGCAGGUGGGGGUGUGCCAGCCCCCACACUGGCGCGCUCGGUCCUACAAGGUCAGCUCCCCAUCUGAGACGUGAACACGAGACUCCAGGGGACCAAACAGCCUGCCCUGCUCACCUGCGGACACAAACCCGUGCCAACACUCAGUCACCUUGUACAACAUCAGGCCUAGAAAGAAGGGCGUUGGGCCUGCGAGCACCCUGAUUGUAUACAGAGGUGGCUGUCCAAUGUGAGCAGCAGCACCCAUGAGGGGGACGCGGGGCUGAACCUCCAGAAACCCCAUCAUCAGCUAACAGUGAAGCCUCCACUUUUAGGUGGAGGGUGGGUGGGUCCCAGGUUGUGAGAGACGUGGGGAAAGUGGAAGGUUUCGGUAAGCCCUCUCACCUAGUGACCAUCUCUCACACGCCCAUGGCUACCCAGGAAGUACUGCAGGGGGGCCUGGCCUCAAACCCCGGCUUUCUCUAAGGACGCCUUUGUCUGCGUGUGUGCAGAAGGCGCUGCGAGCCAGCACGGAACGGCCUUGUAUGGCCGGGUUCCCUCUGACGCCGGCGGGGGCGCCUUGUCCCGCGGCGGGACCAAGGUGCGGCUCAGGUGUGCGGGUGGGGGCAGGGGUGACGGGCGGCGCGCGGCCAUAUUUGGCGAUUUGGACCCGCGCUCCGCCCGCCGCCGGGAGGCCAGUGGCCGCCCUGAGUCACGGGGGCGGACGUAACGGACGGGGCGCCUGGCCGCGCUCCUCGCCUUAUUUAGUCAAGCAGGCUACCCAUUGGCCCGCGGGACAAAGGCGGUCCCGGCCGGUGCGCGCGGAGACCCUCGGCUGUGCGCUUGGGCUCAGAGGCGCAGCCCUCCCAGGAGACGGUGGGGGAGGGGUAGCCCCGCCGGAGCGGAGCCGCAGCCCGGCCUCCUAACGCUGUGCACGGGAAGGAGGCGCUGUGAUUUGUCUUAUUUUGCAACUGGGCAGUGUGAGGCCUCGCCCAAGGUCAGGUCGGGGCCGUUCUUGCCUGCUAUGGAAGUUGGCAGCCCCACCCCUCUUGGAGCAGGAAUUGAGAAUGCCGGGCUUCUGUGAGCCUGCAGGCCAGGGGCAGCGAUUGCAGGUCCGCCAGAAGUGGGCGUGUCUCCCGUUGUAUAGAAAGACUCAGUCGAGAGAAAUGAAAAAAAAUUUCUUUCCUCUGCUGGCUUUGGUCAGUUUUUAUUGUGACGUCGAUGCAUCUUAUUUCACAUUCCAUUCAUUUGAUGAUAAGAAAACUGCAGCUGAAGAGGUGAAGCGUUAGGGAGAUUUAAUGCAGGCCGGCUCCACCCUUAACAUUCUCCCAGGCGUUCACAGGAACCUGUCAGUUCCUUCUCCCUGCGGCCACUUCGGAUAUUCCCCGGUCUCCUGGUCACCUCUGUACUUGGUACCCGAUUCUCCAGCAAUGCUCCACCCACCUAAGCACUUCCAAACCUACUUCCUCCAAAGUGGCUGACUGGCUUCUUGUUAGGCAAAUGCAACAAAAUUUUGCAUUUUGCCUCUACACUUGGUCUCUGCUAUUCCUGCUGGGUGGGGGGUUGUCAACCUAAUCUUGGAAAAGAAGAGACUGAAAAGGCUGUGAAGACUCAGGUCAGGUUUGGAAAAUAUACCAAGGUGAGCCUUGGUAAGGGUGAGCUAACAUUACAGUGUAAUGGGUGAACGCUUCUGAUGUCUUUGAAACUUUUCUAUAAGCCUAAAAGCCCAUAAUAAAAAGGGGAUGUAGAAGUCUGAGGAAACCAAAAUCUAAAUAUCCUGAGUCCAUGUUCCUGUCCAGGCCUCUUCGGACACAUCAUAUGCAAGUGGGGAUGUCUUGUCUGUCCAGUGCCAGGAGGCACAGGACUGGCCUUUCCAGUGGAAGGAAGGCAGUGAACUGAGGGUGAGACUGAGCCAGCCUCCGGUGGCAGAACCCAGGGCACAUUACAAACAGGAAGGUCAAGGUUCUGCUGGCCACACCACAUGAAACACAGAAUAUUGGGCAAUGGAGAGCCUCCCCGCCCUUGGGUCGGACAUCUGCCCAGCAUCUGCCCAUGCUGUCCCAGCAACUUAGUGCAUCUGUGUCAGACCAGAGGCUCUUCUAGGUAGGAUUUCCUGCCUGGGCCUUGGCCUGCUCUCAAGGAUCCGCUUGCCCCCAGCCAGCUGAGGCCCCAGAAAGAAUAAUUCAACCUCAGCCCAAGCCAUGGUGGCCCAAGCUGGGUGUGGUGGCCCGCACCUUUGAUUCCAUUACCACUGCAGCAGAGGAAGGCAGAUAGAUCUCUGUGAGUUCAAAGCCAGCCUAGUCUACACAGUGACUUCCAGAACUGCCCAGGCUACAUAGAGAAAACUGUCUCAAAAAAGAAAAUGGCUCUCCCCCAAGGGCCUUGCUCCCUGUUGUCCCCACAACAAACAGCUCCAUAGCCCGGUGAAGGGGGGGGGGGGUUGUCGUCUGGGUUGUCCCAGCUUGCACUAGCAGGCCACUGUGAUACUGUGCAGACCAUUCCCCUCCAAGUCUCUCGACACCUGCAUCCUCGGAGUCGAGUCCACCCACGCUCCACUUCGCCCAUUGGGUCAGCACUGGUAUAUAAGGCUGUCUUCAGAGGGCGCAGUUAGCCUCGGAAGAAAGGAAAACCAGUGGGGUGGGUGAGCAGGAGUGCAGGAAAGCCACCUCAAACUUCAGGCAGGAGGAAAGAGCCACCUGCUCCGGCUUUCCUUCCCCUUCCUGAGAUCUAAGCCUGGGGCGGAAUAGGAGAAUGCAGGACGAGUACUAUAAGCGCAGCGUCUCAGGUGGUCCGGCGCUGGGGCGGUGACCUGGGGGGUUCAAGCCUGAAUACAGGGCCCAGCAGAUGGCGCCCCUGGCAUAGGCCCUGCGGAAGGCAGAUCAGUGGCGGCCAGUGUCAUUCUCUUGUGGACCGCCAGGUGGGUCCUGCUCCUGCCACUUAGUGAGGAGGAGUGCAGCGCACCUGCGGUUCCAAGUCCUCCUCACCUCAAAGGCCAAGUGGGACCAAGAAACUCCUAACAAGGCAUGGCUAGGGCGGACCCCCGCUGAGUCAUCUCUGGUAGGGGAACCCAGGCAGGACUGUGGCCAAGCAGCGGGUGACCUCAGCUGGUGCUGACGCACGGGGAGAGGUGGGGCUGGAGCAGCCAGCACCCAGAACAACAGAUGAGGAAAGAACAGAUUCACUGCCAGAUAGAACCAGCCCGUCGGAUGUCCGGGAGCAAAUACUCUGAGAGACCCCAAAGUACAGACAAUGCAUGACUUGGUGUGUCUGUUUACUAUUAUAG
ensembl:lncRNA